GAAGCUGACCAGACAGUCGCCGCUUCGUCGUCGUCCUUUCGGGGAGACGGGCGGAGGGGAGGAAAGUCCGGGCUCCAUAGGGCAGGGUGCCAGGUAACGCCUGGGGGGGGGAACCCACGACCAGUGCAACAGAGAGCAAACCGCCGAUGGCCCACGCAAGUGGGAUCAGGUAAGGGUGAAAGGGUGCGGUAAGAGCGCACCGCGCGGCUGGUAACAGUCCGUGGCACGGUAAACUCCACCCGGAGCAAGGCCAAAUAGGGGUUCAUAAGGUACGGCCCGUACUGAACCCGGGUAGGCUGCUUGAGCCAGUGAGCGAUUGCUGGCCUAGAUGAAUGACUGUCCACGACAGAACCCGGCUUAUCGGUCAGUUUCACCU
rnacentral:RNase_P_RNA from 1 species